GAAGGAAGAAGAAAAAAAUAAUAUGAAGAACCAUUACAUCCAAUAACUCUAGAAAGGGCACAGAAAAGCCUUUCUUCAGUGACCUCCUCAUUUCUCCUCUCCAACACAUUGACAACUCAAACAUCAUAACAGGCAUAACCGAGCUAAGACAAAACCAGGACUUAAACAUCUGAGAUGCAAUUGAAGAUAAUCAAGAUGGGGACAUUGAUUUUGCCUACACUGUUCUUCUCACUGUAAUACUGGGCACUUGAGGCAACUAAGUUUAUAUACUCAACUCAACUAAGCUUUUA
rnacentral:misc_RNA from 1 species